ACACCUGACCUCCACACCUGAGUUUUUAAAUGAAAGGAAUUUUGGAAAGAUUCUCUCAUUUAAGGUGGACUUGUAAUCAUGUCUCAUUUAAGGUGGCCUUGUGAUCAAGUCUCAUUUAAGGUGGACUUGUAAUCACGUCUCAUUUAAGGUGGACUUGUAAUCACGUCUCAUUUAAGGUGGACUUGUGAUCACGUCUCAUUUAAGGUGGACUUGUAAUCACGUCUCAUAUAAGGUGGACUUGUGAUCACGUCUCAUUUAAGGUGGACUUGUAAUCACGUCUCAUAUAAGGUGGACUUGUAAUCACGUCUCAUAUUAGGUGGACUUGUGAUCACGUCUCAUUUAAGGUGGACUUGUGAUCACGUCUCAUUUAAGGUGGACUUGUGAUCACGUCUCAUUUAAGGUGGACUUCUGAUCACGUCUCAUUUAAGGUGGACUUGUGAUCACGUCUCAUUUAAGGUGGACUUGUAAUCACGUCUCAUUUAAGGUACCAGGAAAGUCUUUAAAGAGUUUCAUGAUGUUGUUGUUGUGUUGUCCACGUUAGCAGCAGCAGAGAAUCAUUAGCUUGUUAAUAAGAAGUGAUUUAAAGCUGCUGCUGCUGCUGUUGUUGUUGUCGU